GCCAUGGCGGAGAUCAGCGAGUCGCUUCUGUCGGUGUCGCCGGCCUCGGCGCCCACAAGGACGGGUGUGAUUCCCCUUCGCGCCUCGGUGGGUCUGUUUCGGUGACGGCUGUGGUGGCUGACGAAACAUGCUUUGACAGGGAGCGAGCGAGGACAAUGACUACAACUCCCAGAAGGCCCCACUGAUGACGUUGUGGUGUUGUUCAGGGAUCGUUGAUAUAGAUGGUAAACAACAACGGAUCCAGCACCGAUCGCUGCGGCACUCCACUGGUCACAGGCCUUUAUUCAGAGAGGAGACCAUCUAAUACCGCACUCUGGCUUCUCACACAAAGCAAAUGUGGCUGAGUCGGCGGAUCUGAGGGCUGCAAAGGUGGUCACAGCCGAAGGGUGGUAGUGGGGACGAGUUCCCCCGACUAAACAAAUGCUCUUCAUGGCGCGCGUUUCAAACAGCUUCUGACAACCAGAUCCGACUCCUGGCCUUCACGUGGCGGAGCUGUUCUCACCGACAGGAGAAGAGGCAAAGGAGGGCCACUGGCGCCUUAAAACCAGUUGUCCCGGGCAGAUGGGGCUCGUUAACCACGGAUGGUUGCUCAUCUGGGAGAGGGAUAACUCCGAUUUCAAACCUCCGCUUCCACUAGCGGUGUUACCUGUUCAAGGUGUGGGUCAACUGACCCCAUUAACCCACGUAUUAUUUCAGACGGUCCCUCGUGUCUUUGGAGCCAUUCUGCUCUCUACAAACCGCUGUAACAGUGUGAGUGACAAUAAAUGAAACCAUUAGAAAUGUCCGUGACUAGAACAGGCAUGGGCAAAGUACGGCCAUAUGCGGCCCGUUAAGCUUUUUAAUCCGGCCCGCAGAACUUGAUGAAAUUAUUUUAAUAAACCUUGUUAACGUUUUUUUUCCCGCAAUUCUGGCGUUUUUCCAAUAGAUUACGCACUCUAUAUACAUUGACCUUUGUUGAGGUGCAGCGUAUUACUCCACAUUUGCGCUUUACUCUUUGUUCGGCUCGACCUAUUUGUGUGAACAGGCGUUCAGCGUCAUGAACAUCAACAAAGCCAGCCACAGAUCCAAGUUAACUGACCAACACCUCAGAUCCAUCCUGAGAAUCGCCACAACAAAACUAAAUCCGGACUUUGAUGCGCUGGCUAGAAAGGGAGAUCAACAACACUGUUCCCACUGAAAUUAAAAAUAAAUUUCGUCGUUGUGUUAUGUAAAAGAUGCAUUUGAAAAUAUUUUUUUUCAAUAAGCCUUACAUGUUACAUGUCAUUUCUGUUAAGUGAUGGACAUGAGUAGUGUGCAGGUGCACGUACGUUCUCAAAAUAAAAAAUGCGCUCCAGAUCAAAUAACACGCUCCGCAAACUGGCGCUCUGUCACUGUCCUGUCUUUGUGCUGGUCGUUGUUGAGUUUUGGCACAGGGGACAAUUGAAUAAGAAGGAGCAGGACAAGUAGACCUGCAUCUCCUACCGUUUUUGUAAUAAAGACAGUCAGGAGGAGAGUGAUGAUGAUAUCUUGAAGGAUAACAGAAUUUUCAGUGCUUUAAAAUAAUAACUUACUAUUAAAAAGCUGUAUUUUAUUCAUUUAAUUUUCAGUGUUUUAAAAGUUAUUUCAAUAAGUAGCUAAAUACCAUGGGACUUCAA